rnacentral:rRNA from 1 species
UACGUAGGGCGCAAGCGUUGUCCGGAAUUAUUGGGCGUAAAGAGCUCGUAGGCGGCUUGUCACGUCGGAUGUGAAAGCCCGGGGCUUAACCCCGGGUCUGCAUUCGAUACGGGCAGGCUAGAGUGUGGUAGGGGAGAUCGGAAUUCCUGGUGUAGCGGUGAAAUGCGUAGAUCUUGGAAAGACCACCAAUGGCGAAGGCACUCUACUGGGCCAUUACUGACACUAAGAGACGAAAGCUAGGGGAGCAAAUGGG